AAGAAUUGCUUGAAUUAAGUAUCCUAUUCUAGUUUGUUAAUAUGUUAGAAGAUAAUUCAGACUUUGUUCAUACAAGUAUUUCUGCAAAAUACAGUGAUUUCUAGGAAAGCUAUAAAUUUAUCUCUAAAUAAAAGUCUCUCUGAACACUAGUACAGAGAAUGAGCAAAGAUAUUUUCCAACCUAAAUGAUUCUCUGAUUCUAUGAUCCUAGAAGAUAUACCUUUGGUACCCUCUAUUAGAAAUUUGCCUGUGUUAAAUAACUGACUUGUAUUAGUUAGUUCUGAAUCACUUGCAACAAAUUUAUUGGCAUAUAUUUUAUGUUUUCUCUCUUAAGAAUAUGAGUUCUUUCUUUGUAACUUUGAGGGUUUGACCCCAUGCAUUUCUCAGAACAAAUGUUUCAGGUAAGUUCCAUUGAUGAUUGUUGUCAUCCAGUGAAAAAUCCAGACUUAGUCACCACCUUCCUAAAUCUCUACGAAUGUAUGCCAUGACUGAAUUUCACCUGCCUGAUGCAAAGACAAACAAAAAGAAAUGCUGCAAUGCACAUGUCCAUUGGUAAGAAGUUACUCUGUUUUAUGGGGUUUGUGCCAAAUGAACACCAUUUUAUGGAUCACUGCAAAGCACAGUUGUGGAGUUAUUGGGCUAUGGAGUCUCCAAAACUGCAGGUAUGGAAUUGAUCCCAUUUUGAGAGAGGUGGUAGACUGGAUGCCCACUUGAGGUUUCUUCUUCUGCAUUGCUUUUAUUGAUUCUUCUACAGUCCAAUAAAAAUUGUUAUUAUACUCCUGUGAGAGGAGAAGCUUAAACAGCAAGGCAAGAAUGACAAUCAAGAAUAAAAAUUGCUAAAGGAAAGUAAGUCUCCUGCCAUAGCUCAACUGCCUGAGCAGUCACUAAAGAAAAUAAGUGACUGGGUUUUUUGCUUUAGAGACAUAUGGAAGGAAACAAGAAAAAACAUGGAAAAGAAAAAAACUGACUUAGCCAAGUUGCAUUAAUAAUCCAUUUUAUUUCACCAGGCAGAUUCAGAUUUCUUUAAAAAAUAGUAUCUUUUUCCCCCAAAGAACAGUAGUGUGGCUGUGGUGAAAAUGUGCAUUGUGCUUGCUAUUCAAAAAGUGCCUUAUUAAAUUAAAUUUAUAAAUGAAUGAAAGAAACUCUACAAUGCCUCUCAAGUGGAUUCCCUGUGAAUCUUAGGCUGUCACAUUUAGCUAUAUAUUCCAAGUUAGAUGGAAUUAUAAUGAGAGCAUAGAAAGAUUUAGUAAGGAUAGAGAGUCAUAGAGAGUGACAACAGUGCUGAAUGAGGCUGAUAACUACACUGAAGUGCACCACACUACUGAGGCUUCAGUGUGAGCACGUUUCAAGGAGAACAAAAGUACACAGCAAUAUAUGCAGUUGCUACCAUUACUACAUAAAUACUCACUCAUUAAAAUAAUACAGAAAAAAACCCCAAAUCAGUGUUACACUGGAAUGCAGGAUGAGUAAAUACUUGCUGUAGAAAGGAUGCCUGACUUAAAAAUCCAAGCGUGCGCCACAUGCUUACCCUCUGCAAGAGAUCUCCAAAUUUUCAUUAAAGGUAUGGUAUUUUGAAGUAUUGAUGAAAACCUUUAACAUUUUACAUUUGGUCAAAGAAUGUUAUGUGAACACUCUGUUCACGACUUAUUUUUCAGGAAUUCCAAAGCAUGAAAUAGUUUGAAGGACUUCAGAAAUGUGGACCUCCUAAUUGGUUGCAGGAUACUUUAUUACAUUUGCACUUUUCAAGACAGAUUUGGAGCAUGUGGUUUGCAGCUGCUGAAUGGUGUUCAGAGUUCUGCAAGAUAUCACUUUGCAUUGCUGCUUGUAUCAUUUAUGUGUUUAAAUCCAAAAGAUGAAGAAAAAAGUGGAGAAGAGUGAAAAACAAAGCCACAGUGGGGAAAGAACAUGCCAUGGACACCUUCUACCAUCAAGCAUGGUCAUUCCAUGCUGUCAAGGCAUUUAUCUAAGCCUUACAGUAGACUGGCAAAUAGAGUGGUUACACAAAGAGCAUAUAGUUUUUUUCAUCUUUUCAGAAAAAAUGAAGAUUCAGUUCAAUAAAAAGUAUGGAAUAUUA